rnacentral:rRNA from 1 species
AUUGAACGCUGGCGGCAUGCCUUACACAUGCAAGUCGAACGGCAGCACGGGUGCUUGCACCUGGUGGCGAGUGGCGAACGGGUGAGUAACACAUCGGAACGUACCUUAUCGUGGGGGAUAACGCAGCGAAAGCUGUGCUAAUACCGCAUACGCCCUGAGGGGGAAAGCGGGGGAUCGAAAGACCUCGCGCGAUUAGAGCGGCCGAUGCCUGAUUAGCUUGUUGGUGGGGUAAAAGCCCACCAAGGCGACGAUCAGUAGCGGGUCUGAGAGGACGAUCAGCCACACUGGGACUGAGACACGGCCCAGACUCCUACGGGAGGCAGCAGUGGGGAAUUUUGGACAAUGGGGGCAACCCUGAUCCAGCAAUGCCGCGUGAGUGAAGAAGGCCUUCGGGUUGUAAAGCUCUUUUGUCAGGGAAGAAACACCGGCUCUAACACAGUCCGGGAAUGACGGUACCUGAAGAAUAAGCACCGGCUAACUACGUGCCAGCCGCCGCAGUAA